rnacentral:lncRNA from 1 species
CGGUGGCGGAGGAAGAAGCAGCGACAUGUCGCUGCCUCUGGUAAGUAACUUCAGCAACCGGGGAUUGGGGGUGGGUGGGAAAGGGGACCUAAAGUGCCAGGAAAACGGAUUGUUUUCCUGGCACUGGAGUUUUCCUUUAACCCUGUGCACACUGUGCGUAAUAAGGAGUCUCUCAGUAUCCUGCUGCUAUAACCCUGUGCACACUGUGCGUAAUAAGGAACCUCUCAGUAUCCUGCUGCUAUAACCCUGUGUACACUUUGUGUAAUAAGGAUUAUAUCAGUCUGCUUUAAUCCUGUGUACAGUGUGUGUAAUAAAGAGUCUCUCUGUACCCUGCUGCUUUAACCCUGUGUACAGUGUGUGUAAUAAAGUCUCUCUGUAUCCUGCUGCAUUAACCCUGUGUACGGUGUGUGUAAUAGGAAGUCUAUCAGUAUCCUGCUGCUUUAACCCUGUGCGUAAUAAGCAGUCUCUCAGUAUCCUGCUGCUUUAACCCGGUGUACACCGUGUGUAAUAGGAAAUCUAUCAGUAUGCUGCUGCUUUAACCCUGUGUAUACUGUGUGUAAUAAGGAAUCUAUCAGUAUCCUGCUGCUAUAACCCUAUGUACACUGUGUGUAAUAAGGAUUAUAUCCGUAUCCUGCUGCUUUAACCCUGUGUACACGGUGUGUAAUAAGGAAUCUAUCAGUAUUUUGUAGCUUUAACCCUGUGUACACUGUGCGUAAUAAGGAGUCUAUCAGUAUUUUGUAGCUUUAACCCUGUGUACACUGUGCGUAAUAAGGAGUCUAUCAGUAUUUUGUAGCUUUAACCCUGUGUACACUGUGCGUAAUAAGGAGUCUAUCAGUAUUUUGUAGCUUUAACCCUGUGUACACUGUGUGUAAUAAGGAAUCUAUCAGUAUGCUGCUGCUUUAACCCGUGUACACUGUGCGUAAUAAGGAGUCUAUCAGUAUGCUGCUGCUUUAACCCUGUGUACACUGUGCGUAAUAAGGAGUCUAUCAGUAUUUUGUAGCUUUAACCCUGUGUACACUGUGCGUAAUAAGGAGUCUAUCAGUAUUUUGUAGCUUUAACCCUGUGUACACUGUGCGUAAUAAGGAGUCUAUCAGUAUUUUGUAGCUUUAACCCUGUGUACACUGUGCGUAAUAAGGAGUCUAUCAGUAUUUUGUAGCUUUAACCCUGUGUACACUGUGUGUAAUAAGGAAUCUAUCAGUAUGCUGCUGCUUUAACCCUGUGUACACUGUGCGUAAUAAGGAGUCUAUCAGUAUUUUGUAGCUUUAACCCUGUGUACACUGUGCGUAAUAAGGAGUCUAUCAGUAUUUUGUAGCUUUAACCCUGUGUACAAUACGUGCGGAGAGCUAAUGGAGUAGCUGACAUGUUUUAUACCUGCAGCAAUAUUUAAUACCAGAUGAGACGGGAGAGCUGGAGCAAUAUACAGAGACAUGUACUGUGCGAUUGUGUGGGGGUCUCUGUAUUAUGCUCAGCACUGUGUAAUGCAUAUGUAUCUCUUUAUUGUACAUUCAGAAUUACUCCAUUCUGUGAACUGUUUAAGGACUACCAUUAGGGGUGGAGCAGACAGAGCCGAGUCAGGAGACCGCUACACCUCACCAUGUCAAAAGAACACUCCAGAUACCAUAAGCACUGUACGCAUUUCUCUUCAAGGUAACCUCAAUAAGGCGGCCAGAGGUAGAAGCCAUCCAAGAAUUCAUGGCAGGUUGUCACACAACUCACAUGUACCAGCUGACCGCAUCUCCCUAAUCAUUCCCAGAACUGCAGCAAUCCUAGCUCCCCCUUCUGCUAAUCAAACUGCCCUCAUACCCCACAUCAUCUGAGCCACUAGUGUGACAACCUAAGCAGCCCAUCUGCCCACCACGUGCCAUACCAAGAAGCCCACCACGUGACCCACCUGCCAUACCAAGGAGCCCACCUUCCAUUCCAAGAAGCCCACCACGAGGCCCACCUGCCGCACCAAUAAGCCCACCACGGGGCCCACCUUCCAUUCCAAGAAGCCAACGAUGCGGCCCACCUGCCAUUCCAAGAAGCCCACCACGAGGCCCACCUGUCAUUCCAAGAAGCCCACCUGCAGCACCAAGAAGCCCACCACGGGGCCUACCUUCCAUUCCAAGAAGCCAACGACGCAGCCCACCUGCCAUUCCAAGAAGCCAACGACGUGGCCCACCUGCCAUUCCAAGAAGUCCACCACGCGGCCCACCUGCCAUUCCAAGAAGCCCACCAGCCAGUAUAAUCAAACUUUUUUUUUUGGGGGCACAACUUCUGUUUUAAAACUAGAUGGCGGGAUAACACUACACAAUACAGAACCCACAUUAAACUAAUGUUUUCUUUUAUUCAAGAAUAAAUUAGUUGAUCUUUUCAAAUA